AGAGUUUGAUCCUGGCUCAGAUUGAACGCUGGCGGCGUGCCUAACACAUGCAAGUCGAGCGGUAACAGGUGUAGCAAUACAUGCUGACGAGCGGCGAACGGGUGAGUAAUGCUUCGGAAUCUACCCUCUAGUGGGGAAUAACCAGCCGAAAGGUUGGCUAAUACCGCAUACGUCCUACGGGAGAAAGCAGGGGAUCGUAAGACCUUGCGCUGAUGGAUGAGCCGAAGUCGGAUUAGCUAGUUGGUGGGGUAACGGCUCACCAAGGCGACGAUCCGUAGCUGGUCUGAGAGGACGACCAGCCACACUGGAACUGAGACACGGUCCAGACUCCUACGGGAGGCAGCAGUGGGGAAUAUUGGACAAUGGGGGCAACCCUGAUCCAGCGACGCCGCGUGUGUGAAGAAGGCCUGCGGGUUGUAAAGCACUUUUAGUGGGGAUGAAAUGUGCAGGGUUAAUACCUCUGCAUUUUGACCUAACCCACAGAAAAAGCACCGGCUAACUCUGUGCCAGCAGCCGCGGUAAU
rnacentral:rRNA from 1 species